UACGUAGGGGGCAAGCGUUGUUCGGAUUCAUUGGGCGUAAAGGGUGCGUAGGUGGCAGGGUAAGUCGGAUGUGAAAUCCCGGGGCUCAACCUCGGAACUGCAUUCGAUACGGGCAGACUAGAGUUCGGUAGGGGAGUCUGGAAUUCCUGGUGUAGCGGUGAAAUGCGCAGAUAUCAGGAGGAACACCGGUGGCGAAGGCGGGACUCUGGGCCGAUACUGACGCUGAGGAGCGAAAGCGUGGGGAGCAAACAGG
rnacentral:rRNA from 1 species